GACGAACGCUGGCGGCGUGCCUAAUACAUGCAAGUCGAGCGAAUGGAAGGGAGCUUGCUCCCUGAAGUUAGCGGCGGACGGGUGAGUAACACGUGGGCAACCUGCCUGUAAGACUGGGAUAACUUCGGGAAACCGGAGCUAAUACCGGAUACGUUCUUUCCUCGCAUGAGGAAAGAUGGAAAGAUGGUUUCGGCUAUCACUUACAGAUGGGCCCGCGGCGCAUUAGCUAGUUGGUGGGGUAACGGCCCACCAAGGCGACGAUGCGUAGCCGACCUGAGAGGGUGAUCGGCCACACUGGGACUGAGACACGGCCCAGACUCCUACGGGAGGCAGCAGUAGGGAAUCUUCCGCAAUGGACGAAAGUCUGACGGAGCAACGCCGCGUGAGCGAAGAAGGCCUUCGGGUCGUAAAGCUCUGUUGUCAGGGAAGAACAAGUGCCAGAGUAACUGCUGGCACCUUGACGGUACCUGACCAGAAAGCCACGGCUAACUACGUGCCAGCCGCCGCGGUAAAAC
rnacentral:rRNA from 1 species